AUCGCAUCUAUAAAAGCAGAAAGUGACGUAAAACGCCCGCAUUGAUCAGUCAUCGUGUUUCUGUGGUGACGUGUUUGUGUGGUGUAGCUCCGGAACUAAACCAGUGCCAUUUUGUGCCAGGUCGGAUACAGUCCCAUUGCGUUUCGCGUGGGUCUGCAUCCGUCGGCCGCCAUCUUGGUCGCCGCUGGGGCGUGGUUGCUGCCAGCUACAAAAUGGGUUUGUAGAACGGUAUCAUGUACCUAUUUAUUUAGUUUUAAGUAAUUGUAAAUUUUGUUUCAAUUUGUCUAUUAUUGCAUAAUGGUUAAAUUGGAAUUUCAGCUCUAUUCAUAUUGAAUAAAAAUUGUAACAUAUGUUCUAAUAUGAUAAUAAAAAAUAUUUUAAAAAUCUUGUAUCAAUGGAUUUUAUUUAAAUGUGAUUUUACCCUAUAAAUGUCAUUUACAUGAGUCAUCGUCAUCAUCACUUGGAGGCGAAAUAUGGCGGCGUUGCGUGUUUGGCGCUUUCAACUACUUCGAGAUAGUUCGAGAAUGACGUUCUCGUCGCGUCUGCGGAGGUGAUUCAUAGCUGCCUUUGAACACGGCCCUGCGGUGCCACUACGUGAAAUGUCUGCACGAUCGUAACAAUCCAGUCCCAGUUGUCAGCCCACUAGGUAAAAGUUAGGUAAUAGCAAUAUGAUUUCCUAACUUCACCUUGAUUUGAAGCCUGAACAUCGGCUUCUUCGUGUGUAACUAUACCUUUAGAUCUGACAGAAACUUUGCGUGAAGCAGCAACCACGACGAUCGAGGUAUCGCAGCUACCCGUCGCAACGCGUUUUUAUUGAGCAAUGUGUCAUCACGGUACAAUGACUCAACUCUGAAUUGAAUCGAAGUAAAGAGGUUAGUGGGUGAAUCACUUGCUAAUUCAAAAGGCAGUGAUUGUUUACCGGAAUAAAAUGAAAACAUAAUGUUUUUGUAGAUCUUUUUCUCUAAGUUAAUAAAAUACGUUUAAGCUUUAUGAUAACCCAUUCAAGCAGGGCAUCAAUAUAUCUUCGCACAGGCUUCAAACUGCAAGGAGACUCGAAAUAGUUUACGUUACUAUCUACCUACCGACUUCGUACAUACACCUUGACGAACCGAGAAUUAAUUCAGUGGCGCUGCACGCAACGGUUUUUGUAAAUUUUGGCUAUUCCUGGCUUAUUUUCUUACAAGUGGAGCUCACAACGAGAGGGCAACGUCUAAGUUACGUAUCGAUGCUGGUAAAUAAAACGAUUACAAAAAACAAACACUGAAAUUCAUAAAUGGAUCGGGUAUGUCCUGUAAAUUAUGGAAUCACUCUUAAUGUCUUGACAAAGAAACUGGAAUAUAAGAUGGAAACGCAACUAGCUUUACAAUAAUUAAAACUAUACUAAAUGAUAGGGAUAUUCGUCUCUGCAUAUGUGAAAUGGUGAGUUUACUAUGUUUUGCCAUUUAUCGUCUUGUAAUAAUUCUAAUACUAAAUUCAUAUCUGUUACCAGUUUGAAUUAGAUACAUAAGUUAUACAAAUUUAAUAAAAUAAAACUACGUCUUUAUUGAUUUCUCUUAAUCCUGAAAGUUUUAAUAAAAUGAAAAACUGCUCUUAUGACUUAAUUAUUUAUCUCAUAUUUUCAAUGCAAACUUCACAGCAAACUACUACUCUGGAGCACAGACUCGUGGUCGAGUCAAGUUUCCUAAGAUCAAAAUGAUAUCAAGGUGAUGUCCUUUCUCACUCGAAGAAGGCUUACCAGCACCAGUUGACGUUAGCGAGUCCACGCUGCGGCCUAAAGACAGAUAAGUUCCAGAACUAGUCUUUUAGGCGGAAGUUUGCAUACUAAAUCUGCAUAUUUUAGUUAAUAGCUUUUGAACAGAAUAUAAGAAAUCUAUAACACGACAAUCAAAUGUUCGGUUCUUAUUGAGAAGGUAAAACAUUUUUUUUUGAACUUCAAAUCUGGAUUUAGUGCUUUUUUUUUAGCAAAUGUAACUACAGAAUGACAAUAAUUUUGAAGUCAACUUCUACUGCAAAAGUCUAAACAUAUUAUUGAAAUUAAGUAGGCUCGUUCAAUUUGUUUCCAUUAUAUGUAUAAAUUAAUACCAAUUUUCAUAAUGCCAUUUUAUAGCAAUUCUUUGUCUGUCAACUCUUGUACGGUUUCGGAGAAUUUGAGGUUGUGUUUGAACCUGUUUUUUUUGUUUGAAUGAUUAUUCGGCGUCCCUCGCAAGGAAAUCUUAACAUGCUCUUUUGCUUAGAUCUGAUCAACAGGUUUUCAGAUCAAUAUAGCAGAGGAAACUAUGAAGUUAAAAAGACUACCUACCUAUAUUAAGCAAAAUGCAAUGAUGAAAAAUCUAGGCCCAUUCUUCGUUAAUAUCUAGAAAAUUAUUGAAAAAGGACUAAACAUGUAUUGUGUUAUUUGGAUAUAUAAUUCAAUUUCAACAAAAAAACUACGAAAAUAUUGAAUUAAAAUGUGAAGUCAGUUUGUGGAAUAAAAGUCAUAAUGUAAUGUAGGAAAAAUAUAAAACUAAUGACUGUUGUAGUCUCCCGCCAGAAAAUAAGCGUUCUUGCCUGGAAAUGAAAAUAAAAUUAUGGAAAGGAAAGAAACAACCUGGUUCGGGUAAUUAUGGACGCAUGUUUGUGCUAAUCGUUUUUAAAGCUAAAAUAUACACAGACUGAAAGAAAGGAUCUGAACAAUGCUUACGAAGGGAGAUAAUUUAAAAAGGAUAAGGAUAAAAGUAUUUUUAUACACAAGACUUGGAGGUGUAUCAGUUUAUGGUGACUUUGCUACUACACAAUUCGUAUAUACAGUAAGAGUAUAUUUUUAUUUACUAUCGAGUAUGCUAUAUAUAUAUUUUUACGAAGUGGACUUUGAGACAUGCUUAAAACGAAUCUAUAGGUACUUAAAUCUGGAAUAUCUACAUACAACUGAGAAUACUUUCCAUGGAAAACGGUAGUUAUCGGUAAUAAAACGUUCUUUUCUACGGGACUGAUAAAAAUGACAAUCUAUAAAAUAAUUAACAGGAAAUUUAAUUACCAAUUGAAAAAAAAACCAACUAUGUCUAUUCUCGAUCCUUCCUGCCAUUAAUGUUAACAAUGAUUGGCAAUAUUUCUACUCUCUUCUGUAUACCUUGACUUCACCUCCGUGGCGCUCUUCUGUUGCUAUUAAUGUACUGCAUAAGGAUGAUCGAGAUAACAAAAACUACAAAUCAAGUAGUACAUCAUCUACAUCCAUAUUGAGGAAUUUGUUGGCUUGCUGCCAGUGGUAUGAGAGCUUUUGUGAGUCACAAAGUACAUAAUUAAGAAGCACAUCGCCCUAAUGAUUGUGAUGCUAAAAGGUAAGGUAUUUAAACUACCAAAAAACUUUGAAUAAUGCUGACUACAAAAGCUACGUUGAUGAUGAAAAAAUUGGUCACUUUUUUUAAUAUUUACAACUCUUCAACAACAUUUGGAAUUAAAUUAAUUUUAAUGGUAGGAUUUUCACAUUCAGUAUCAUUAUUAUCCUUCUAUCUUUUUAUCAGCAUGACUCUUAACUAGGUACCUAGGUAGUUGCGGUACUGCUAAUCGAAAAUUGCAUUGAUAUUUGCACAACCUGAUAGUUUUUCAAUUUUAGUACUACACUUUAUAUUGGCUGCUCAAACUAUACGUUUAGCCUUUGUAGUUGUGAUUUUUUUCUUUAUUUGGAUAAACAGUUUUGUGCGUAUGCUUAUAAAGAGCUCACCUUGAGACAUAAGAUCGAAGUCUGAUGCAAAGUUUGGUUAGCUAUACCUAUUGCUCUAGUUGCAAUGAUGCCGAUGUCUCAGUAGGUAGUUGUUACUAUCAUAGAUCGCUGCGUGGUGUUUUAUUUGUCGCCAGUGCUUUCGUGGUGGUCACUAUUGUUACGGAUCCCCGCACCGCGUCUCACUAUGACCAAUCUCAGAGGUGUUCCUUGCUGCUGCCAACGAUUCCCGUAGUGGCUUGCUGUUGUCGAUGCCUGCGUGGUACUUCUUGCUGCUGCAGAUUUCUGCGUGGUGAUAUUUUUACUAAUUCAGAUGUGCCUAACUUGUGUUAAAUAGCUACCAGUCUCCGUGGAUACAAACUAGACUAUGAAAUCGACUCACUGCUAUUUAUUUUAUAUACUUAGAUGUUUUAGAUGAAAAUAUGAACUUUGUGUGGUUAGUGGUUACCGAAAUCCUCUUAAAUCAUAACAUAAGAAUACGUCAUUGAUACAUAAGGUCGAAAGACUAAUGAACUGUUAACGCCUCUUCACCCGUCAAUUAGGAACGCAUCACUGGUUUGUGGCGGAUGUAGACAUAAGGUUGCCGUUCAAAUGCCUAAGUAAACAGCGUGGUAACUGCGAAAGCCACGAUGUCUACGUGGUUGACUUUGGUACCUACCUACUUGUUAGCUGCUUCUCUAUCCCUAGGUGGUAACGUAUUUAAAAGCCGAAGUGCGCACGAGAAUACAACCGACCCGGCUUUGAAUUUCGCUACCCGUCGUGACAUCUGCAUUCGCAUAAUUACUGAUAAUGCGGUUCGGAUUUCGUUAUUUUAUAGUUUAAGAUGAAAAGUCAGACCCACAUCUCGUAUUUA
rnacentral:lncRNA from 1 species